AUAAACUAGGAAAGCAGUGGAACAGCUAUGCAAGAAGCCUACUUUCUCUUCAUGUAACACGUUGGCCUAAGAGAUCUAUAGAGCUUUUUAAAAACAGAGAAGGCAGCAAGAUUUAAAAUAAUAAAACCAGCAAUAGGUAUUUUUUAAAGUGAGAGAAACUAUCAGAGAGCUGAAGCAGAAAAGCAAGUUAAAAAUAAAGGAAACAGAAAAGGAACUGAUAUAGCUGAUUUGAUACUAGAAAGAUCACCCAGGAGGCAGCACGGAGAAUGGAUUGGAGAAGGGUGAACAUUGAGUCAGAGGCUUUGUGAGCUUACUGUAAAUUUGAGGGAGCAAAUUGGAGGAGAAAUGACAAAAGAAACAGAAAAAAUGUUAAAUCAGACAAAGGAACUAAAAAACGUCAGUCUUAAUUAGAAGAUGGUCAAACAAAUCUCUUAACUGAUGUUCACAAUGAUGGUUUCAAAUCAUCUAAGGAACAGGUGAGUACCAGGGAACUUGUGUAAUUUCAAUCAAAUUUAAUUUUUACAAUAAUCCCAAGAAAUAUAUCAUUAUCCCUAUAUUACAGACUAAAACAAAAUAAACAAAAACAAAUAAAACCUUUGAGACUCAGAACUAUUUUAGCAGCUUUCCCAAAAGCUGCUAAAACGUAAAACUAGAAUCCUGACCCAUCAAUGCCAAACCCUAU
rnacentral:antisense_RNA from 1 species